rnacentral:rRNA from 1 species
AGGAUGAACGCUGGCGGCGUGCCUAACACAUGCAAGUCGAACGUGAGGACAUAGCAAUAUGUCUGAAAGUGGCGAACGGGUGAGUAACACGUAGGUGACCUGCCGCGCAGAGGGGGAUAACGACUGGAAACGGUCGCUAACACCGCAUGGUACUAAUUAGAUGGGAAUCUAGUUGGUUAAAACCGAGGUGCUGCGCGAGGGGCCUGCGUCCGAUUAGUUAGUUGGCGGGGUAACGGCCCACCAAGACGAUGAUCGGUAGCUAGUCUGAGAGGAUGAUUAGCCACACGGGAACUGAGACACGGUCCCGACUCCUACGGGGGGCAGCAGUGGGGAAUCUUGCGCAAUGGGCGAAAGCCUGACGCAGCAACGCCGCGUGGGGGAUGAAUGCCUUCGGGUUGUAAACCCCUUUCAGCAGGGACGAAUCUGACGGUACCUGCAGAAGAAGCCCCGGCCAACUACGUGCCAGCAGCCGC